rnacentral:rRNA from 1 species
GACGAACGCUGGCGGCGUGCCUAAUACAUGCAAGUAGAACGCUGAAGAGAGGAGCUUGCUCUUCUUGGAUGAGUUGCGAACGGGUGAGUAACGCGUAGGUAACCUGCCUUGUAGCGGGGGAUAACUAUUGGAAACGAUAGCUAAUACCGCAUAACAAUGGAUGACACAUGUCAUUUAUUUGAAAGGGGCAAUUGCUCCACUACAAGAUGGACCUGCGUUGUAUUAGCUAGUAGGUGAGGUAAUGGCUCACCUAGGCGACGAUACAUAGCCGACCUGAGAGGGUGAUCGGCCACACUGGGACUGAGACACGGCCCAGACUCCUACGGGAGGCAGCAGUAGGGAAUCUUCGGCAAUGGGGGCAACCCUGACCGAGCAACGCCGCGUGAGUGAAGGAGGUUUUCGGAUCGUAAAGCUCUGUUGUAAGUCAAGAACGGGUGUGAGAGUGGAAAGUUCACACUGUGACGGUAGCUUACCAGAAAGGGACGGCUAACUACGUG